AGUGAACGCUGGCGGUAGGCCUAACACAUGCAAGUCGAACGGCAGCACAGUAAGAGCUUGCUCUUACGGGUGGCGAGUGGCGGACGGGUGAGGAAUACAUCGGAAUCUACUUUUUCGUGGGGGAUAACGUAGGGAAACUUACGCUAAUACCGCAUACGACCUACGGGUGAAAGCAGGGGAUCUUCGGACCUUGCGCGAUUGAAUGAGCCGAUGUCGGAUUAGCUAGUUGGCGGGGUAAAGGCCCACCAAGGCGACGAUCCGUAGCUGGUCUGAGAGGAUGAUCAGCCACACUGGAACUGAGACACGGUCCAGACUCCUACGGGAGGCAGCAGUGGGGAAUAUUGGACAAUGGGCGCAAGCCUGAUCCAGCCAUACCGCGUGGGUGAAGAAGGCCUUCGGGUUGUAAAGCCCUUUUGUUGGGAAAGAAAAGCAGCAGGUUAAUACCCCGCUGUUCUGACGGUACCAAAAGAAUAAGCACCGGCUAACUUCGU
rnacentral:rRNA from 1 species